AUUGAACGCUGGCGGCAGGCCUAACACAUGCAAGUCGAGCGGAUGAAGGGAGCUUGCUCCUGGAUUCAGCGGCGGACGGGUGAGUAAUGCCUAGGAAUCUGCCUGGUAGUGGGGGAUAACGUCCGGAAACGGGCGCUAAUACCGCAUACGUCCUGAGGGAGAAAGUGGGGGAUCUUCGGACCUCGCGCUAUCAGAUGAGCCUAGGUCGGAUUAGCUAGUUGGUGGGGUAAAGGCCUACCAAGGCGACGAUCCGUAACUGGUCUGAGAGGAUGAUCAGUCACACUGGAACUGAGACACGGUCCAGACUCCUACGGGAGGCAGCAGUGAGGAAUAUUGGACAAUGGGCGAAAGCCUGAUCCAGCCAUGCCGCGUGUGUGAAGAAGGUCUUCGGAUUGUAAAGCACUUUAAGUUGGGAGGAAGGGCAGUAAGUUAAUACCUUGCUGUUUUGACGUUACCAACAGAAUAAGCACCGGCUAACUUCGUG
rnacentral:rRNA from 1 species